rnacentral:lncRNA from 1 species
UGUCUAAAUGGGCACGUGUGGUGCCGAAAUUCUACAGGGUGCUGGAUGUGGAAACGUAAAUUUUGCAUAUUUUUCUUAAUUUUUGAGGAAUGCAAAGUUCAUAUAGCAGAGAUUGAAUAACUUUUUCAUUCCUUCCAGACCAUUUGGGCCAUUUAUCAACUUUUGUGUCCAGGAUCUCUGAAAAAAUGAAGUGGAAAUAUAAGUCUACAACACUACAAUAUAUUAAAAUGUGCUUUUAUAUGACAGAUUGGUAAAAAUUUUAAUUUCAAUGAAAAUAUUUUUUUCUUUUGGUUGAUCAGGUAGAGAAUAUAUCAAAGAUGCUUAUAAAAACACUUUUUCCUCUUCUCAGGCGAUUUUAUAUUUUUAAAAGUGAAUUUCUGGACCAAGAGUCAAGUAUCCUCAUUUUUGGGGAAAAUGUGAAAAUGGGCAUGUGUGGUGCAAAACUGAUUUUUAAAACACUUCUACAGGAAAAUUCUAGGGAUCAGGCAAAGGUUCAGGGUCAUAAUUAUGUUAUUUUUAUCAUAUAUUUUCAAAUUCUGAUGGUGAUUUAUAUACUUUUUGUGGAUAUAUUGAGAAAAUCAACUUUUCAUUUUUCUGAUCUCUGAAAAUUUAUACCCCGCUUUGUACACAAUUAUAUAUAGGAAGCAUUGAAUGCAUGCUAUUUUUUAAAUCGAUCUAACACAAAACUUACUUAUUCAAAAAGUAUUGUCUUUAUUUCAAAAAAUAGAAAAAGAUUCUUAGUUUCCAUUCCUUUGCAAUUCCAUAAUGCAAAAAGUGGAUAAAAUGGUGAAAUUCUACUACCGAAAACAUAUAUAUUUGCCUAUAUUUCUUUUAUUUACUUUAUGUUAGAGCGCCCUCUACUGACCACAAUCCACAAACUAACUAUACAACAACUAUUACGAAACGGUAAACAAAUUUGGUGCAUCGGGGUUUUUUUUUGGCUCAAAGUUAUACUCCUCGUUUACUUGGCACGAUUACCGUUUGUUUUUAUUGAUUAUGGUUUUAUACAUACGCAUUCUGAGAUGUUCGAACUUGCCUUUGAAGAAUUUUCAGUUCGAACUGUGCUGUGAUCAGGUGAUCGGAUAUUUAACGUACCGAUAAUUGAGACGGAAAUAGCAUGAGAAGGCAGCCGAAGCUCCGGGCAUGAUCGAGUAAGUGGACGAUCGUUGUUCAUGGCUGCGAGUGUCACUGUCAGAUUUGAUUGAAUCGUGGUCAUGGUGGUUGAUUAUUCCAGCACGAUUUCGUCUAAUAUGUGAUCGUCUGUGCUGAGUGAUGUUGGUGCAUACAGUGGUAAUGAAAAGAAAAUUGGCAACCAGUCAUCUACAAGACGCUGCAUUCAUAUACACUGUAAGGAAAGGAACAAGAAAAUGGAGGUUGUUUGUCACCUUAAUUGAAGUGCAGUCGACAUAUAGCCGAGUUUACAGUUGACAGUUUAUAUCUUAUGGGUAGAGAAUUUGAACUAAUAAGGAAAGUCCCUGCAGGAAACAAAUCAGGUAUGAUGGCCGUGAUGAGAUAGUGCUGAAAUCUGCGACUAUUUCAAGCAGUCUUGCCUGUCCAGCAUUUA